AACAACAAAUCAAUAUGCCUCAGGGAGGGGGUCAUAGUGCAAAAUUAACAGCUGUAGAACGUGCACAUAAGACGUGCAGUGUCCUACAGUAUUAAAAGGGGGCAUCUGACCGACCAUCAGCAAAAGUCAUAAGCUGAAUACCUCAGCACUUUCUCAAAGCCCUAACUGUUCAGUGUCAGAGACAAAGGGCCGGUGUGGGUCAACACUGAAAAGUUGUUUGUCGACUGAAGACCAGAAGAAGCCCACAUGAUCUUACAUCCUGCCUGUGGAUCUGUACCUGGUGGAAAUGACCCGGUGAAUUAACCCCAGAAAUCCUGACAUUACAGCAGGGGUGGAAUGUGUGCACUUUUUACAGACAUCAAAGAUUUGGAGUGAAAAAUUUAAACUUUCAGUAAUUGCCUGUAUAUAAUAAUUACUACAGAGUCUACAGCCCCUGGCUGAGAAAUGGUUAAUAAUAGAAUGUGUGCUGCUGACACACCUGCACCUGACGGACAUCCUCUCCCAGCGACUCCUUAGCUCCCCCACCUGUACCUAUGCCCUCUACCUGCCCACACACAGGGCACAUUUAUUACCCUCAUAUGACACCUGUCACUAACCAGCCUGGCACAGUCACACACGUGUACCUCUGCCCUCUACCUGCCCUUACACAGGGCACAUUUAUUACCUUCAUAUGACACCUGUCACUAACCAGCCUGGCACAGUCACACACCUGUACCUAUGCCCUCUACCUGCCCUCACACAGGGCACAAUUAUUACCCUCAUAUGACACCUGUCACUAACCAAACUGCACAGUCACACACCUGUACAUAUGUCCUCUACCUGCCCACACACAGGGCACAUUUAUUACCCUCAUAUGACACCUGUCACUAACCAGCCUGGCACAGUCACACACCUGUACCUAUGUCCUCUAACUGCCCUCACACAGAGCACAUUUAUUACCCUCAUAUGACACCUGUCACUAACCAGCCUGGCACAGUCACACACCUGUACCUAUGUCCUCUACCUGCCCACACACAGGGUACAUUUAUUACCCUCACAUGACACCUGUCACUAACCAGCCUGGCACAGUCACACACGUGUACCUAUGUCCUCUAACUGCCCUCACACAGAGCACAUUUAUUACCCUCAUAUGACACCUGUCACUAAACAGCCUGGCACAGUCACACACCUGUACCUAUGUCCUUUACCUGCCCACACACAGGGCACAUUUAUUACCCUCAUAUGACACCUGUCACUAAACAGCCUGGCACAGUCACACACCUGUACCUAUGUCCUCUACCUGCCCUCACACAGGGCACAUUUAUUACCCUCAUAUCACACCGGUCACUAACCAGCCUGGCACAGUCACACACCUGUACCUAUGCCCUCUACCUGCCCACACACAGGGCACAUUUAUUACCCUCAUAUGACACCUGUCACUAACCAGCCUGGCACAGUCACACACCUGUGCCUAUGUCCUUUACCUGCCCACACACAGGGCACAUUUAUUACCCUCAUAUGACACCUGUCACUAACCAGCCUGGCACAGUCACACACCUGUGCCUAUGUCCUUUACCUGCCCACACACAGGGCACAUUUAUUACCCUCAUAUGACACCUGUCACUAACCAGCCUGGCACAGUCACACACUUGUGCCUAUGCCCUCUACCUGCCCACACACAGGGCACAUUUAUUACCCUCAUAUGACACCUGUCACUAACCAGCCUGGCACAGUCACACAUGUGUACCUAUGCCCUCUACCUGCCCUCACACAGGGCACAAUUAUUACCCUCAUAUGACACCUGUCCCUAAACAGCCUGGCACAGUCACACACCUGUACCUAUGUCCUCUACCUGCCCACACACAGGGCACAUUUAUUACCCUCAUGUGACACCUGUCACUAACCAGCCUGGCACAGUCACACAUGUGUACCUAUGCCCUCUACCUGCCCUCACACAGGGCACAAUUAUUACCCUCAUAUGACACCUGUCCCUAAACAGCCUGGCACAGUCACACACCUGUACCUAUGUCCUCUACCUACCCUCAUACAGGGAACAUUUAUUACCCUCAUAUGAAACCUGUCACUAACCAGCCUGGCACAGUCACACACUUGUGCCUAUGCCCUCUACCUACCCUCACACAGGGCACAUUUAUUACCCUCAUAUCACACCAGUCACUAACCAGCCUGGCACAGUCACACACCUGUACCUAUGUCCUCUACCUGCCCUCACACAGGGCACAUUUAUUACCCUCAUAUCACACCGGUCACUAACCAGCCUGGCACAGUCACACACCUGCACCUAUGUCCUCUACCUGCCCUCAUACAGGGCACAUUUAUUACCCUCAUAUGACACCUGUCACUAACCAGCCUGGCACAGUCACACACCUGUACCUAUGCCCUCUACCUGCCCACACACAGGGCACAUUUAUUACCCUCAUAUGACACCUGUCACUAACCAGCCUGGCACAGUCACACACUUGUGCCUAUGCCCUCUACCUGCCCUCAUACAGGGCACAUUUAUUACCCUCAUAUGACACCUGUCACUAAACAGCCUGGCACAGUCACACGCCUGUACCUAUGUCCUCUACCUGCCCACACACAGGGCACAUUUAUUACCCUCAUAUGACACCUGUCACUAACCAGCCUGGCACAGAAGUCACACACCUGUACCUAUGUCUUCUACCUGCCCUCAGGGCACAUUUAUUACCCUCAUGUGACACCUGUCACUAACCAGCCUGGCACAGAAGUCACACACCUGUACCUAUGUCUUCUACCUGCCCUCAGGGCACAUUUAUUACCCUCAUAUGACACCUGUCACUAACCAGCCUGGCACAGAAGUAACACACCUGUACCUAUGCCCACACCUGUAUUAGAUAGUGGCAGCCUGGAAGGUAAUUUAGUGAACCACAACAUCACAGUGAGUUCAGUAAGUCAGCUGGCCUGUGACACUUCCAAUAGACUGCAGCUCUCUGCCUCAAUGUGAGGAUCUGCCAAACCAAAAGCUGCUAUUAACUACAUGUGGUAACCAUGUGACUGGAGACUGCAAGUAAUCUCAUGUGAAUAAACUUGUUUAAACCCUA